CAGCAGCCGCGGUAAUACGAAGGGUGCAAGCGUUACUCGGAAUUACUGGGCGUAAAGCGUGUGUAGGUGGUUGUUUAAGUCUGUCGUGAAAGCCCUGGGCUCAACCUGGGAAUUGCGAUGGAUACUGGGCGACUAGAGUGCGGUAGAGGAUAGUGGAAUUUCCGGUGUAGCAGUGAAAUGCGUAGAGAUCGGAAGGAACAUCUGUGGCGAAGGCGACUAUCUGGGCCAACACUGACACUGAGACACGAAAGCGUGGGGAGCAAACAGGAUUAGAUACCCGGGUAGUCCCUGUCUUUAUACA
rnacentral:rRNA from 1 species